GCCACUGUGGCAUAGCGGUUUGUGUGGGACUACAACUCUGGAGACCAGGGUUCAAUUCCCAGCUUGGCU